rnacentral:lncRNA from 1 species
GGGUCCCCUAGGUCGCGGGGCAGCCGGGGCGGAAGGGGCUUGUUCAUUAUUUUGAGAGUUUGUUGUGAACGUCAUAACCUUUCGUCCUUAAAUAUUGCCGAUACUUGACCUACGCAAGAGACAAUGUCAUGUGAUUCAGCCUAAUAUCUCAGAGGAUGCAGCAUUCAAGGUUCUAUCUUGGAAGCAGAGACUGUGCCCUCACCAGAUGCUGAACCUGCUGAGCACCCUGAUCUUCCACUUCACCUUCAUCAGAACUGGUGCUAAGAAUUCUGAAUUUAUUGAGGAAAUAAAUGUCUGAUUGCAACAAAAGAAAACUUGUCUGGCUUUGGGAAGGAAGAGGCUUAGGAAAAAAAUUAAAGGCGUCUUUACUAGAAGUUCAAGACUGGGGCUGUGGCUGAGAUGUCACAUGGCAGAUAGGAUCACAAAUUUCUGUUGUAUCUGGAUGGAGAUCAGCAGGAGGAUCUAUGGGUACUUCAAAGAGGACAUCCUCUCCUGAAGAACAGAAGAACCUGAAAUGUUUGGAGCCUAAGACUGCUGUGAUUGCACCUGCCAUCUUAUGCAGAAAUGACCUGAAGACAGACUGAAACAACGUGUUCUACAGCCUGAAAAUAUCUACCUUGACUUACAGUUUUAUUAAUGCUGGUGUGAUCAGACUGGACAAAAAUUAGCAUAUGUUAUUAACUGAUCUAAUUCAAGUGCCAAUUCUUAAUAGAAACACAAAACAAUAAAA